rnacentral:lncRNA from 1 species
UCUUCUACAAUUGUUUCUCAUAUGAAAAUGAUUCCAAGAGCAAUGUUACUCUUUAUGACAUUCCAAAGAACUUUAAUGUUGGCAUCAAGAGCUAAUAUCUCUUGGAAAGUCAUUUUUAUGGUGAAAUAUUAUAGGUCAUUUUGGUUGUGCCAUAGAUGGAAGGAUAACUUCCAAGAACCAUAACUUGCUCAAUAUUUAUGACACGAAGGUCAUCCAUGUUUCAUGGUAAAACUCAGGAUGUCUUCUCUAAC